rnacentral:sRNA from 1 species
ACUUUAACCUAUGGCGAGUAAUUCUAGUUGCCAAAAAGCUAAAAGUUGUGGACUGGAAAUUUGCUUAAAAAAGCAAAAGUUUUGGUGGGUAAAGGUAAAGCUGUAGUGCGGAUUGGUUCAGUACACCAAGUGUCAGUUGUUCACCAUUAAUAAGCAACUAAGUAAGACAAAAAGCCCCAGAAAGACUAUCCCACCCCAAAGGU